UACGUAGGGUCCGAGCGUUGUCCGGAGUUACUGGGCGUAAAGCGCGCGCAGGCGGCGGUGCUGGCCCGGCGUGAAAGCCCCCGGCUCAACCGGGGAGGGUCGUCGGGGACCGCACCGCUUGAGGGCGGUAGGGGCUGGUGGAAUGCCUGGUGUAGUGGUGAAAUGCGUAGAGAUCAGGCGGAACACCCAUGGCGAAGGCGGCCAGCUGGGCCGUCCCCUGACGCUGAGGCGCGAAGGCGUGGGGAGCGAACAGG
rnacentral:rRNA from 1 species